UACGUACCGUCCAAACGUUAUUCGGAAUUACUGGGCUUAAAGGGUUUGUAGGCGGCGCUGUUAGUCGGGUGUGAAUCCCAGGGCUCAACCCUGGAACUGCGCCCGAUACUGCAGUGCUUGAGGGAGACAGAGGUAAGCGGAACUGAUGGUGGAGCGGUGAAAUGCGUUGAUAUCAUCAGGAACACCGGUGGCGAAAGCGGCUUACUGGGUCUCUUCUGACGCUGAGAAACGAAAGCUAGGGGAGCGAAGGGG
rnacentral:rRNA from 1 species